AGAGUUUGAUCCUGGCUCAGGACGAACGCUGGCGGCGUGCCUAAUACAUGCAAGUCGAGCGAACCCUUCGGGGUUAGCGGCGGACGGGAGAGUAACACGUGGGUAACCUGCCUGUAAGACUGGGAUAACUUCGGGAAACCGGAGCUAAUACCGGAUAACAUUUCGCUUCGCAUGAAGCGAAAUUAAAAGAUGGUUCUGCUAUCACUUACAGAUGGACCCGCGGCGCAUUAGCUAGUUGGUGAGGUAACGGCUCACCAAGGCCACGAUGCGUAGCCGACCUGAGAGGGUGAUCGGCCACACUGGGACUGAGACACGGCCCAGACUCCUACGGGAGGCAGCAGUAGGGAAUCUUCCGCAAUGGACGAAAGUCUGACGGAGCAACGCCGCGUGAGCGAUGAAGGCCUUCGGGUCGUAAAGCUCUGUUGUUAGGGAAGAACAAGCACCAGUUAACUGCUGGUACCUUGACGGUACCUAACCAGAAAGCCACGGCUAACUACGUGCCAGCAGCCGCGGUAAUACGUAGGUGGCAAGCGUUGUCCGGAAUUAUUGGGCGUAAAGCGCGCGCAGGCGGUUUCUUAAGUCUGAUGUGAAAGCCCCCGGCUCAACCGGGGAGGGUCAUUGGAAACUGGGGAACUUGAGUGCAGAAGAGGAGAGUGGAAUUCCACGUGUAGCGGUGAAAUGCGUAGAGAUGUGGAGGAACACCAGUGGCGAAGGCGACUCUCUGGUCUGUAACUGACGCUGAGGCGCGAAAGCGUGGGGAGCGAACAGGAUUAGAUACCCUGGUAGUCCACGCCGUAAACGAUGAGUGCUAGGUGNUUANAGGGUUUC
rnacentral:rRNA from 1 species